rnacentral:rRNA from 1 species
GACGUAGGGGGCCAGCGUUGCUCGGAAUUACUGGGCGUAAAGGGUUCGUAGGCGGUGUGGCAAGUCGGGAGUGAAAUCUCUGGGCUUAACUCAGAGGCUGCUUCCGAAACUGCCGUGCUAGAGUGCGGGAGAGGCGAGUGGAAUUGCAGGUGUAGCGGUGAAAUGCGUAGAUAUCAGGAGGAACACCUGUGGCGAAAGCGGCUCACUGGACCAUAACUGACGCUGAUGCACGAAAGCUAGGGGAGCAAACAGG